ACAGCAGUAGCCGCGGGAAUACGUAGGUCCCGAGCGUUGUCCGGAUUUAUUGGGCGUAAAGGGCUCGCAGGCGGUUUCUUAAGUCUGAUGUGAAAGCCCCCGGCUCAACCGGGGAGGGUCAUUGGAAACUGGGAAACUUGAGUGCAGAAGAGGAGAGUGGAAUUCCACGUGUAGCGGUGAAAUGCGUAGAGAUGUGGAGGAACACCAGUGGCGAAGGCGACUCUCUGGUCUGUAACUGACGCUGAGGAGCGAAAGCGUGGGGAGCGAACAGGAUUAGAUACCCCGGUAGUCCCUGUCUCUUAUAC
rnacentral:rRNA from 1 species